UAAUUUUAAAAAUCGUCAUAAACAAUUUGGUUUUAUGAAAGGAUACAAUACCAAGGUACGACAAUACAACAAAGAAAAAGGCAAUUCAGUCACGUGAUGUAAAUCUAACGGUAAACAACACUAUUUAACUGUUCAUCUACUUACGAGAUAACCAAUAUUGAUCGAGGAUUUAUAACUUUGAAGAAUUGAAAACAUUGCCAAAAAAAGAAAUGAGAAAGAAGAGACAAUCU